rnacentral:rRNA from 1 species
UACGAAGGGGGCUAGCGUUGCUCGGAAUCACUGGGCGUAAAGCGCACGUAGGCGGCUUGUUAAGUCAGGGGUGAAAUCCUGGAGCUCAACUCCAGAACUGCCUUUGAUACUGGCGAGCUUGAGUCCGGGAGAGGUGAGUGGAACUGCGAGUGUAGAGGUGAAAUUCGUAGAUAUUCGCAGGAACACCAGUGGCGAAGGCGGCUCACUGGCCCGGUACUGACGCUGAGGUGCGAAAGCGUGGGGAGCAAACAGG